rnacentral:tRNA from 1 species
GCCGAUGUAUUUCAAUUGGCUAGAAUGUCCGGCUUUUAAUAAUUCUUUAAAAAUCGGUAAAAAUUAGAUACCGGAAGGUUCUGGGUUCGAGUCCCAGCAUCGGCG